GCUUACUUCAACAGCAUAUACUAAAACUGGAACCACACAGAGAAGAUUAGCAUAGCCCCUGAGUAAGAAAGACAUGCAAAUUCAUGAAGCCUUCCAUAUUUAU
ensembl:snRNA U6 U6 spliceosomal RNA